UCUGAUAAGGGCAGAAACGGUUC
rnacentral:piRNA from 1 species